CCUACGGGAGGCAGCAGUGGGGAAUAUUGCACAAUGGGGGAAACCCUGAUGCAGCGACGCCGCGUGAGUGAAGAAGUAUUUCGGUAUGUAAAGCUCUAUCAGCAGGGAAGAUAAUGACGGUACCUGAGUAAGAAGCACCGGCUAACUACGUGCCAGCAGCCGCGGUAAUACGUAGGGGGCAAGCGUUAUCCGGAUUUACUGGGGGUAAAGGGCGCGUAGGCGGGAUGGGAAGUCUGAAGGGAAAGCCCCGGGCUCAACCCCGGUACUGCUUUGGAAACUGUUAUUCUGGAGUGCAGGAGAGGUAAGUGGAAUUCCUGGUGUAGCGGUGAAAUGCGUAGAUAUUAGGAGGAACACCAGUGGCGAAGGCGGCUUACUGGACUGUAACUGACGUUGAGGCUCGAAAGCGUGGGGAGCAAACAGGAUUAGAUACCCGGGUAGUC
rnacentral:rRNA from 1 species